CACCACGUUGAAUACGUUCCCGGGUCUUGUACACACCGCCCGUCACACCACGAAAGUUGGGGGGCGCCCGAAGUGCCUAUUUACUAGGCCCUAAGGCGAAUCCAGUAAUUGGGGUG
rnacentral:rRNA from 1 species